GAGCUUUACUGUAGCCUGAUAUUGAAAUUCGGCACAGCUUGUACAGGAUAGGUAGGAGCCUUUGAAACGUGAGCGCUAGCUUACGUGGAGGCGCUGGUGGGAUACUACCCUAGCUGUGUUGGCUUUCUAACCCGCACCACUUAUCGUGGUGGGAGACAGUGUCAAGCGGGCAGUUUGACUGGGGCGGUCGCCUCCUAAAAGGUAACGGAGGCGCUCAAAGGUUCCCUCAGAAUGGUUGGAAAUCAUUCAUAGAGUGUAAAGGCAUAAGGGAGCUUGACUGCGAGACCUACAAGUCGAGCAGGGUCGAAAGACGGACUUAGUGAUCCGGUGGUUCCGCAUGGAAGGGCCAUCGCUCAACGGAUAAAAGCUACCCCGGGGAUAACAGGCUUAUCUCCCCCAAGAGUUCACAUCGACGGGGAGGUUUGGCACCUCGAUGUCGGCUCA
rnacentral:rRNA from 1 species